GUACUGAAACCACUUGUACCAUUCUAUCCAUUUCAUUAGGUAAGAAAACAGGAAGUGGGUCAUUGCAGAAAUGCAAUCUUUCUUCCUCUUUUUUUCCUCACAAGAAUGUUAUUUGUCAUGUAAAACAUUACCCACAGCUUCACCCUGUUUGCACGGUUUCCCAAAGCAGUAUACAUUUCCCUUCAGUUGGUUUGUGGGCUUCUGGAUGUUUUUGCCUCUCUUCUCUGGACUUAGCGAGAGAAAAAAAAUGCAGGACGUCUUUGGGAUCCUGUUGAUGUUCACAGGAGCUGCAUCAGGUUUGCUGUUUCAGGAUCCUGUUGUCUGUAGAUUUAAUGAGAGUAGUCUGUGUUAUGUAGCUCUGGGACAACGACUGCACCUGCAAAUUCCCCUGGAGUAUAGGUUUGAACUAAAGAUCACAGACAAGACAUCUACCACUCGUUCCAUUUUAAGAUAUAUAAAAACCCAAAGUGACCCACCAAAACCAAAUGACCCAAGAUGGCAGUUUGAUAAAGAUAAAACUAUAAUACUAACCAGUGCAGAGAGGAGCGACUCUGGAACAUACACUUUAGACACCUUUGAUGCAAACGGAAAUAAUAAAGGCAGUUAUACUCUCCAGCUGUACAUUGAAGCUAAGGUGUCCUCAGUGAGCAUCCAGUACAACUGCUUGUUCCCUGAGGUCAGGAAAGUGCACUGUUCUGCUGAUGGAGACAACCUCCAGUUCAGCUGGACUUCUGAAUCAACCAUACGGUUGGAGAAUGAGAACAGCACUCUCGUACUGGAUAAAAAUAAUGAUGGAAAUGUCACCUGCCAUGUCGAAAAUCACGUCAGCCGUGACAACAAUUCCAUUGAACUCCAGUCAUGUCCCAACCCUUCUCAGGAUGGCAAGGAGCUUGUGUAUGCGGACAUCACCCAUUUACCCACGAACAAGACAGAGACAAGACCAACUACAUCACAAGCUCAGGACAAGGACAUGGAGUAUGCCACGGUGGUCACUCAUCCCAGCCAGAGGAACCAGAAGAAGAACGAGGAAGAGGUGCAGUAUGGCAAGCUGGUGUUUAACACGCCUGACCAAAAAAAGAGCGUGAUGCCCAAAGUGCAAGAAGAGUGUGUGUACUCACAGGUCCAGCAUGGUCAAUAAGGGACACACUCUUAGCCUGUCUCGGUAUGUAUUUUAUUGCAAGAUCAUUCUGGUAGAGGAAGUAGCUGUUGAUGACAUUUCACCCAUACACACUCAUCUCUUACCCAAAAUCAAACCAUUUCACUAUCUGAUUAUCUAAUUACUAAAUCUUUUAGGCUGCAUACAAGCACAGUGGUUAGUGUUUCAUAAAGUGGGUACCAAAAAGGAAUGAAUGAAUUUAUGUAAUUUUCUAUUUAAAUGUAAUGUUUUGCAGUUGCCAUUUUACGUCCAUUCCACUAGGAUGAAAUGAAACCGUGUAUUGAGUGCUGAGUUCCUAGGCUUUUUUCCCCAAAGGCAUUUGUGACUCAGUAUCAUUUCACUAAUGAAGAGAAAAUAAAUGGGAUCUUCCUUCUUGCAGCUUUAAGUGUUGAACUUAAGACACAGCUGUGGCUUCAUGGACAGCUCACACACUGCUCUUUGAGUUGCUCCAUCUUUCAAAACCAACAUUUCUGCUUCUCAGUUUAAAACAAAAUGACACCUUGUCACUGUGGUCAAGUGCUGUACAUAAGAAGUGUGUAAAUUAUUCUACGAGGUUGUUUUCUACCAUUUAAAAAAUGUUACAUGGAUAAAAUGAAUGGUUAAAAUGUCAAAUUGUUCAGUUGUAAAUGGAUUUUCAGCUUAUGAUGUCUAAAACUUUCAGUUUGUGAAAUUGUGUGUGAAAUCAUGCCUUAAGAAUUGACACCUGAUGUUUACUCUCUUGCUAAACACAUGGGCAGAAAAAGCAUCAGCCAAGUCAGAGAUAUUAUUUUUUUAAUUUUAUUUUUAAUUUUUUUUUUAAAGCUAUAAAUGUGUAUAGAUGGAUGUAUUAUAUUUCACAUUGCCUUGGUUGCAUUGUCAAUUUCAAACUUGUAUCUUUGUAUUAUAUUGCAAUAAUUAAUGGAAAACCUAUUCCUGUAACUAUGCAGAGCCUCUGUUAGUACAUUUAUUCUUGAGUAAAGCAGUGUUUUACAGUGUUGCACUGUUACCUUCUCUGGAAAAUGAAAAGAGGAUGGAACGCACUUGCCUGCAUAUGCAAACAUGUUCAUGCAGACCAUUUAUUUGCGUCAUAAUUAUCCCAGCUUGUGUGGUUGGUGGAGAGCAAUUGCAGUGCUUGGUUCUAAAAAUUAAAGAAAUAAGGGUGUUGUCAUCAGGGAGUGUUGGUGUUACUGACACCAAAUAGGGUCAUUUAAAAAAAAAAAAAAAUGAAUAUCACAAUCAUUCUUUAACAGUUGAUUGCUGAUAUUCCUAUCCUUUAAGGUUUUUUUUGCAUUGGAAGUUUAAAAAAAUUACAUAGGAUUAAGAUCAAAUGGGUGGGUAGUAUUAAUAAACUUGAUGAUUACACAAGGUAGUAAGCACUCAGCUUACAAUUUGUGAUAUAAAAGUGUAUAUAUGUGAAGGAGACUAUUUGCUGACACACUUUUCAUAACUUGGUUAAAUAAAUUGUUCCUCUUUUUUUGUUGAACCAAUCUAGAUGAGUUAAUGGCAUAGUUUAAGGUUUUAAAACUGUACUGAAUUUUUACAGAAAAAAUACCUAUGCAUAAAUUGUUUGUUCUUAAUUCCCAGAAUGCCUCUACUGACUCUAUUAUUCAUGUUUAUUUAUCAACGGCAUUUAUACAAUGAUAUUUAAGAUUUGCUGGCAACUUUUGCAUGGCAGUAAUGAGUAUGAGAGUGCUGAAAAGCUGCCUGAAGUUCUUGUGAUAGCCAUGUUCCAUGUCCAAUCAGCAAUGGGCAUAUGUUGUUCAAUAAGGACCUCCCAUUUCUGUUGAUGUGUUAAUAAUUGGCAGCUGUGGUGUCCUCAGUGAAAGUGUGGUACUGCUGCUUGUUCCCUGAAAUCAGAAAAGUGUACUGUUUUGCUGAUGGAGACAACCCACAAAUACCAGAAACCAGAUGACACUAAACAAUGGGCAAAGGAACUAAAAGCUUCAGACGCUGGUGAUGACACAUCUUCUGUCAUAUUUGUCCUUCAUGAUAGGCUGAUAGCUGUUUCAAUGAUGCUCUGAGCACUUCUGACCACCCACUUCUCCAAGGAUGUAGAUUGAUCUUCCUCAGAAUGUUGAUGGUGAUGGGCCUUCUUGAUGAGGGGCGAGGUGUGGAGGACUCAACAGAAGUCUUGUGUUAAGACUUGAAGCUGUUGACUCUACAGCAGUUCCAUUAAUGGAGAUGGGUCUGUGGGUCACACUCAGUUUCCUGAAGUCAACGAUCUGCUCCUGGGUCUUGCUGAUGUUGGUGCACAGGUUGUUUCUAGGUCACUAGCAGUUCCACCUUCUCCCUGUAGGCUGUCUC
ensembl:lncRNA